CUUAAAUUGAAGAGUUUGAUCAUGGCUCAGAUUGAACGCUGGCGGCAGGCCUAACACAUGCAAGUCGAGCGGUAGCACAGAAGAGCUUGCUCUUUGGGUGACGAGCGGCGGACGGGUGAGUAAUGUCUGGGAAACUGCCUGAUGGAGGGGGAUAACUACUGGAAACGGUAGCUAAUACCGCAUAACCUUCGCAAGAGCAAAGAGGGGGACCUUCGGGGCCUCUCGCCAUCAGAUGUGCCCAGAUGGGAUUAGCUAGUAGGUGAGGUAAUUGGCUCACCUAGGCGACGAUCCCUAGCUGGUCUGAGAGGAUGACCAGCCACACUGGAACUGAGACACGGUCCAGACUCCUACGGGAGGCAGCAGUGGGGAAUAUUGCACAAUGGGCGCAAGCCUGAUGCAGCCAUGCCGCGUGUGUGAAGAAGGCCUUCGGGUUGUAAAGCACUUUCAGCGGGGAGGAAGGCGGUAAGGUUAAUAACCUUAUCGAUUGACGUUACCCGCAGAAGAAGCACCGGCUAACUCCGUGCCAGCAGCCGCGGUAAUACGGAGGGUGCAAGCGUUAAUCGGAAUGACUGGGCGUAAAGCGCACGCAGGCGGUCUGUUAAGUUGGAUGUGAAAUCCCCGGGCUUAACCUGGGAACUGCAUUCAAAACUGACAGGCUAGAGUCUUGUAGAGGGGGGUAGAAUUCCAGGUGUAGCGGUGAAAUGCGUAGAGAUCUGGAGGAAUACCGGUGGCGAAGGCGGCCCCCUGGACAAAGACUGACGCUCAGGUGCGAAAGCGUGGGGAGCAAACAGGAUUAGAUACCCUGGUAGUCCACGCUGUAAACGAUGUCGAUUUGGAGGUUGUGCCCUUGAGGCGUGGCUUCCGGAGCUAACGCGUUAAAUCGACCGCCUGGGGAGUACGGCCGCAAGGUUAAAACUCAAAUGAAUUGACGGGGGCCCGCACAAGCGGUGGAGCAUGUGGUUUAAUUCGAUGCAACGCGAAGAACCUUACCUACUCUUGACAUCCAGAGAACUUAGCAGAGAUGCUUUGGUGCCUUCGGGAACUCUGAGACAGGUGCUGCAUGGCUGUCGUCAGCUCGUGUUGUGAAAUGUUGGGUUAAGUCCCGCAACGAGCGCAACCCUUAUCCUUUGUUGCCAGCGAUUCGGUCGGGAACUCAAAGGAGACUGCCGGUGAUAAACCGGAGGAAGGUGGGGAUGACGUCAAGUCAUCAUGGCCCUUACGAGUAGGGCUACACACGUGCUACAAUGGCGUAUACAAAGAGAAGCGACCUCGCGAGAGCAAGCGGACCUCAUAAAGUACGUCGUAGUCCGGAUUGGAGUCUGCAACUCGACUCCAUGAAGUCGGAAUCGCUAGUAAUCGUAGAUCAGAAUGCUACGGUGAAUACGUUCCCGGGCCUUGUACACACCGCCCGUCACACCAUGGGAGUGGGUUGCAAAAGAAGUAGGUAGCUUAACCUUCGGGAGGGCGCUUACCACUUUGUGAUUCAUGACUGGGGUGAAGUCGUAACAAGGUAACCGUAGGGGAACCUGCGGUUGGAUCACCUCCUUACCAAGAAG
rnacentral:rRNA from 1 species